rnacentral:lncRNA from 1 species
CCGACAUGACAGCCUACUUUUCAACGCCAUACAUAGGCUAGAGUGGAAGAUUAGAAAAUUUCAUUAAAGUGGGGGUGGUGGGGUCUCAUUAAGGCUUCACUUUAGUCGUGACGUAAGCAACUCACGAGCUCAGACCCCUGCGUGUCCCACAGCGAGCUCAAAACAGACGCAGCGCGCGCGCCGAGCUGCAGCACGCGGAACGGAGCUCCUCUCUGCUGCUUGAGACUGCAAAGACAAAAGCCGUUUCGGAUAACAUCAAGAGCAGAAAACAUCUGUGCGCAUCAUGAAGUUUGCCGCUUUAGUCUGCUUGGUUGUUUUCUUCGCUGCAGCUGGAGGGUCCAUACCAGUUGAGCAGGACAGCCAAAGAGAGGACCUGCUUAUCCAGUGUUUAGUUCACAUCCUUUCAAAGGCGCUGUAUAAGACCGAUGAUACUCCACUGCAUCCAGAAUGCAAAAACAUCCUUACACCAGGUACGUUAAUUUGCACUUUCACACUGUGUUGCUUUAUUGUGUU